rnacentral:tRNA from 1 species
GGGUGAUUAGUGUAGUGGUUAUCAUAUUUGCCUUCCAAGCAGGUGACAUGGGUUCGAUUCCCGUAUCACUCA